AAAAGGGUUAAAGAAUGACGCCCCUGAUUGUAUAAUAGGCCCCUUCGUAGUAUUUGUUUGUUGGUUUGCCAUCAUCUUGUAAUCUUCUUAUUUUGUUUUUCAACUUGAUAUUGCUCCAAAUGC
rnacentral:ribozyme from 1 species